CCCUUAGAUGUUCUGGGCCGCACACGCGCUACACUGAAGGAGGCAGCGUGUACUCCUGGAUCGAAAGAUUUGGGUAACCCGCGAAUCUCCUUCGUGCUAGGGAUUGAGGUUUGCAAUUAUCCUUCAUGAACGAGGAAUUCCCAGUAAGUGCAAGUCAUAAGCUUGCGCUGACUACGUCCCUGCCCUUUGUACACACCGCCCGUCGCUACUACCGAUUGAAUGAUUUAGUGAGGACUUCGGACUGGGACCGAUGCGGCUUUCGGGCUGCGUCGGUAUUCUGGAAAGAUGUCCAAACUGUAUCAUUUAGAGGAAGUAAAANUCGUAACA
rnacentral:rRNA from 1 species